rnacentral:rRNA from 1 species
UACGGAGGGUGCAAGCGUUAUCCGGAUUCACUGGGUUUAAAGGGUGCGUAGGUGGGUUGGUAAGUCAGUGGUGAAAUCUCCGGGCUUAACCUGGAAACUGCCAUUGAUACUAUCAAUCUUGAAUACCUUGGAGGUGAGCGGAAUAUGUCAUGUAGCGGUGAGAUGCUUAGAUAUGACAUAGAACACCAAUUGCGAAGGCAGCUCACUACACGGUCAUUGACACUGAGGCACGAAAGCGUGGGGAUCAAACAGG